CCCUUAGAUGUUCUGGGCCGCACGCGCGCUACACUGACGAAUGCAACGAGCUUAUAACCUUGUCCGAAAGGUCUGGGUAAUCUCCAAAUUUCGUCGUGAUGGGGAUAGAUUAUUGCAAUUAUUAAUCUUCAACGAGGAAUGCCUAGUAAGCGCAAGUCAUCAGCUUGCGUUGAUUACGUCCCUGCCCUUUGUACACACCGCCCGUCGCUCCUACCGAUUGAAUGACUCGGUGAAAUCCCCGGACUGCAGCCUUGACACCCUCGGGUGACUCGGCAGUGGAAAGCGGAUUAAACCUCGCCACUUAGAGGAAGGUGAAGUCGUAACA
rnacentral:rRNA from 1 species